AUCCAACUGACGAGUCCCAAGUAAGACGAAACGCGUGUCAAACUGGAU
rnacentral:hammerhead_ribozyme from 1 species